GGGAAUGUGGCUUAAUGGUAGAGUGCUUGUUUUGAAUGCAUAAAGCCCUGGGUUCAAUUCCUCAGUACCA
rnacentral:tRNA from 1 species